rnacentral:rRNA from 1 species
UACAGAGGGUGCAAGCGUUGUUCGGAAUCAUUGGGCGUAAAGGGCUCGUAGGUUGCCAACUAAGUCAGACGUGAAAUCCCUCGGCUUAGCCGGGGAACUGCGUCUGAUACUGGAUGGCUUGAGUUUGGGAGAGGGAUGCGGAAUUCCAGGUGUAGCGGUGAAAUGCGUAGAUAUCUGGAGGAACACCGGUGGCGAAGGCGGCAUCCUGGACCAACACUGACACUGAGGAGCGAAAGCCAGGGGAGCAAACGGG